rnacentral:lncRNA from 1 species
UCCACGAAGAUCCAAUAAUCGAAGCCCAGUAAGAUAUGCAAUUGAUGGAGGCAAUUCUCUUACGCCACUUCCUGAUAUGUUCAAACCCCAUAGUGAUUCCAUCUCGACUUCUAUUUCCGGGAAACUCUCAAGGCUUUUGCAAUUACUAAGAUCAAGGUUUUCAAGAGAUUUCAGUCUAAGUGUUGCAAACCUUGUAAGAUUGAAGCAUCCACGAAGAUCCAAUAAUCGAAGCCCAGUAAGAUAUGCAAUUGAUGGAGGCAAUCCUCUUAUGCCACUUCCUGAUAGUCUCAAAACCCGUAGUGAUUCCAUCUCGACUUCUAUUUCCGGGAAACUCUCAAGGCUUUUGCAAUUACUAAGAUCAAGGUUUUCAAGAGAUUUCAGUCUAAGUGUUGCAAACCUUGUAAGAUUGAAGCAUCCACGAAGAUCCAAUAAUCGAAGCCCAGUAAGAUAUGCAAUUGAUGGAGGCAAUCCUCUUAUGCCACUUCCUGAUAGUCUCAAAACCCGUAGUGAUUCCAUCUCGACUUCUAUUUCCGGGAAACUCUCAAGGCUUUUGCAAUUACUAAGAUCAAGGUUUUCAAGAGAUUUCAGUCUAAGUGUUGCAAACCUUGUAAGAUUGAAG